rnacentral:pre_miRNA from 9 species
UCUCGAUAACGCAAAAGUUAACUCAAAUGUGUAUGGAGUUUGAACGUUUUCUUACGUACACCGCUAGGGGUGCUGUUUCAACUGCAUACAUAUCUGAGUUAACUUUUACGCUAUCGA